rnacentral:rRNA from 1 species
UGAACGCUGGCGGCAGGCCUAACACAUGCAAGUCGGACGGUAGCACAGAGGAGCUUGCUCCUCGGGUGACGAGUGGCGGACGGGUGAGUAAUGUCUGGGAAACUGCCCGAUGGAGGGGGAUAACUACUGGAAACGGUAGCUAAUACCGCAUAACGUCGCAAGACCAAAGUGGGGGACCUCCGGGCCUCACACCAUCGGAUGUGCCCAGAUGGGAUUAGCUGGUAGGCGGGGUAACGGCCCACCUAGGCGACGAUCCCUAGCUGGUCUGAGAGGAUGACCAGCCACACUGGAACUGAGACACGGUCCAGACUCCUACGGGAGGCAGCAGUGGGGAAUAUUGCACAAUGGGCGCAAGCCUGAUGCAGCCAUGCCGCGUGUAUGAAGAAGGCCUUCGGGUUGUAAAGUACUUUCAGCGGGGAGGAAGGUGCUGAGGUUAAUAACCUCAGCAAUUGACGUUACCCGCAGAAGAAGCACCGGCUAACUCCGUGCCAGCAGCCGCGGUAAUACGGAGGGUGCAAGCGUUAAUCGGAAUUACUGGGCGUAAAGCGCACGCAGGCGGUCUGUUAAGUCAGAUGUGAAAUCCCCGGGCUUAACCUGGGAACUGCAUUUGAAACUGGCAAGGCUUGAGUCUCGUAGAGGGGGGUAGAAUUCAAGGUGUAGCGGUGAAAUGCGUAGAGAUCUGGAGGAAUACCGGUGGGCGAAGGCGGCCCCUGGACGAAGACUGACGCUCAGGUGCGAAAGCGUGGGGAGCAAACAGGAUUAGAUACCUGGUAGUCCACGCGUAAACGAUGUCGACUUGGAGGUUGUUCCCUUGAGGAGUGGCUUCCGGAGCUAACGCGUUAAGUCGACCGCUAGGGAGUACGGCCGCAAGGUUAAAACUCAAAUGAAUUGACGGGGGCCCGCACAAGCGGUGGAGCAUGUGGUUUAAUUCGAUGCAACGCGAAGAACCUUACCUACUCUUGACAUCCAGCGAACUUUCCAGAGAUGGAUUGGUGCCUUCGGGAACGCUGAGACAGGUGCUGCAUGGCUGUCGUCAGCUCGUGUUGUGAAAUGUUGGGUUAAGUCCCGCAACGAGCGCAACCCUUAUCCUUUGUUGCCAGCGAUUCGGUCGGGAACUCAAAGGAGACUGCCGGUGAUAAACCGGAGGAAGGUGGGGAUGACGUCAAGUCAUCAUGGCCCUUACGAGUAGGGCUACACACGUGCUACAAUGGCGCAUACAAAGAGAAGCGACCUCGCGAGAGCAAGCGGACCUCAUAAAGUGCGUCGUAGUCCGGAUCGGAGUCUGCAACUCGACUCCGUGAAGUCGGAAUCGCUAGUAAUCGUGGAUCAGAAUGCCACGGUGAAUACGUUCCCGGGCCUUGUACUCACCGCC